GGGGGAUAAAUUAAUAAAGUAUAAAUAAUAAAAAAAUUUUUAAUAUUAAAAUAACUUAAUGGGGGUUAAAGUAUAUUUAAUAGAAAAAAUAAUAAAAAUUUAUAGAAAAUUAGUAUUGUAAAGGAAAUUUGAAAUAUAUUGAAAAUAAAUUUAUUUAAAAGUAAAUUUAAUUUAUUGUAUCUUGUGUAUCAGAGUUUAUUAAUAAUAUUUUUUAUUUAAAAAUUUUCUCGAAUUUAGAAGAGAUAAUUAGUUAUUAAAGUUAAUGUUGUAUAAUUAUUUUAAAUAAUUAAUUUGAAAUGAUAUGUUAAUCGUUUUUAAAUAUAUCUAGUUUUUUUAGAAAAAAAUUUAAUUUUAAAUUUUAAAAAGUAAAAUUUUAAUUAAUUAAAAUUUUACUUUUAAAAUUAAAUAUUUUAAGGGAUAAGCUUUAAAAUAAAUUUUUAUAAUAAUUUUUAAUUAUAAUUAAAAUUUUUAAAAUUUAUAUUGUUUAUAAAUUAUAGUUUUUUAUAAAUAAUUUUAAUUAAUUUAAAAUUUAAAAUUUAUUUAAUUUUUUAUAAAAAAAUAAUUUAAAAUAAUUUAGAUUUAGAUAUAAUGAUAAAAUUAGUAUAUAAUUAAAUUAAAAUAAUUUAUUUUUUGUUAAUUUAAUAAAAGGAAUUCGGCAAAAAUUUAUAUUCACUUGUUUAUCAAAAACAUGUCUUUUUGAAUUAAUAAUUUAAAGUCUAAUCUGCCCACUGAUAAUAAAUUAAAGGGCUGCAGUAUUUUGACUGUACAAAGGUAGCAUAAUCAUUAGUCUCUUAAUUGGUGACUUGUAUGAAAGAUUUGAUGAAAUAUGAACUGUCUCUUUAUAAUUUUUAGAAUUUAAUUUUUUAGUUAAAAAGCUAAAAUAUAUUUAAAAGACGAGAAGACCCUAUAGAGUUUAAUAUUUAAUUUAUAUAAAAAAUUUUUUAUAAAAUUUAUAAUUUUAAUAUAAUUAAAUAUUUUGUUGGGGUGACAAAAAAAUUAAAAUAACUUUUUUUAUAAUUUUACAUUAGUAAAUGAAUAAAUGAUCCGUAAUUUACGAUUAUAAGAAAAAAUUACCUUAGGGAUAACAGCGUAAUUUUUUUUUUUAGUUCAAAUAAGAAAAAAAGUUUGCGACCUCGAUGUUGGAUUAAGAUAAAAUUUAAAUGCAAAAGUUUAAAAUUUUUGAUCUGUUCGAUCAUUAAAAUCUUACAUGAUCUGAGUUCAAACCGGUGUAAGCCAGGUUGGUUUCUAUCUUUAAAUUAAUAAAAUAUUUUAGUACGAAAGGAUUAAAUAUUUGGAAUAAUUUUAUAUAUAAGAAUUUUAAUAAUAUAUAAUAAUAGUUAUUUAUUUAAAUAUA
rnacentral:rRNA from 1 species